ACACCGGCAGCCCAAGUGGUGGCCAUUUUUAUUGGGCCUAAAGCGUUCGUAGCCGGCCUGAUAAGUCUCUGGUGAAAUCCCGCAGCUUAACUGUGGGAAUUGCUGGAGAUACUAUCAGGCUUGAGGUCGGGAGAGGUUAGAGGUACUCCCAGGGUAGGGGUGAAAUCCUAUAAUCCUGGGAGGACCACCUGUGGCGAAGGCGUCUAACGGGAACGAACCUGACGGGGAGUAACGAAAGCCAGGGGCGCGAACCAGAUUAGAUACCCGGGUAGUCCUGGCCGUAAACGAUGUGGACUUGGUGUUGGGAUGGCCUCGAGCUGCCCCAGUGCCGAAGGGAAGCUGUUAAGUCCACCGCCUGGGAAGUACGGUCGCAAGACUGAAACUUAAAGGAAUUGACGGGG
rnacentral:rRNA from 1 species